ensembl:snRNA U6 U6 spliceosomal RNA
UGUUUCAGCACCAUAUAUACUAAAAAAAUUGAAAUAACAGAGAAGAUUAGCAGGGCUCCUGCAUAAGGAUGAAACACAAAUUCAUGAAGCAUUCCAAGUUAAA